UACGGAGGAUCCGAGCGUUAUCCGGAUUUAUUGGGUUUAAAGGAUGCGCAGGCGGGGGAUUAAGUCGGCGGUGAAAUUUUGCAGCUCAACUGUAAAAGUGCCUUCGAAACUGGUUUCCUUGAGUGUAGAUGAAGUAGGCGGAAUUUGUGGUGUAGCGGUGAAAUGCAUAGAUAUCACGAGGAACUCCGAUUGCGCAGGCAGCUUACUAAACUACUACUGACGCUCAGGCACGAAGGCGUGGGGAUCAAACAGGAUUAGAUACCCCGGUAGUCCCU
rnacentral:rRNA from 1 species